rnacentral:misc_RNA from 1 species
GCAAAGGAAAUAGUGGUUUUUCAUCAAGUUGAGAAGAGCUACGCAAGCUGAUAUCUGGAUCUCUCUCGGGGGAUUCAGAUCCAGGGAGACCUAGCCUCAGUUCUGUAGCCUUGAGAUUCAGCGAGAGUUUGUUCCCAUCAGAAUUUGUGGCAGUCAUACAGCUGUCCUCUGAGGAAGAAUCAGAUAAUCCCAUGUAAUUACGCUCUUCAAAUCCCAAAUUGUUU